rnacentral:rRNA from 1 species
ACGCGACACCUACGGGUGGCAGCAGUGGGGAAUAUUGCACAAUGGGGGAAACCCUGAUGCAGCGAUGCCGCGUGAAGGAAGAAGUAUCUCGGUAUGUAAACUUCUAUCAGCAGGGAAGAAAAUGACGGUACCUGACUAAGAAGCCCCGGCUAACUACGUGCCAGCAGCCGUGGUAAUCUGAGCGGGCUGGCAAGGC